rnacentral:rRNA from 1 species
UACGAAGGGUGCAAGCGUUACUCGGAAUUACUGGGCGUAAAGCGUGCGUAGGUGGUUCGUUAAGUCCGAUGUGAAAGCCCUGGGCUCAACCUGGGAAUGGCAUUGGAUACUGGCGGGCUAGAGUGCGGUAGAGGGCAGUGGAAUUCCCGGUGUAGCAGUGAAAUGCGUAGAGAUCGGGAGGAACAUCUGUGGCGAAGGCGACUGCCUGGACCCAGACUGA